rnacentral:sRNA from 1 species
CAGACCCCAGGGACACCAGACAUCCUUUCGUUCACUGAACAGGUACAACACAGGCAGUAGCGGUGCAAGCUUCUACACUUUGCUCACCAGUGUGCCUCAGCUCAGAACUGGAGGGGCUGCCUCUGUAGGCAAAAUGGCCUGUUUCCAUAGCUAUUCAAGCCUUGGCCUCU